GUGGGGAAUCUUGCGCAAUGGGCGAAAGCCUGACGCAGCCAUGCCGCGUGAAUGAUGAAGGUCUUAGGAUUGUAAAAUUCUUUCACCGGGGACGAUAAUGACGGUACCCGGAGAAGAAGCUCCGGCUAACUUCGUGCCAGCAGCCGCGGUAAUACGAAGGGGGCUAGCGUUGCUCGGAAUUACUGGCGUAAAGGGCGCGUAGGCGGACAGCUUAGUCAGAGGUGAAAGCCCAGGGCUCAACCUUGGAAUUGCCUUUGAUACUGGCUGUCUUGAGUUUGGGAGAGGUGAGUGGAACUCCGAGUGUAGAGGUGAAAUUCGUAGAUAUUCGGAAGAACACCAGUGGCGAAGGCGACUCACUGGCCCAAUACUGACGCUGAGGCGCGAAAGCGUGGGGAGCAAACAGGAUUAGAAACCCGGGUAGUCC
rnacentral:rRNA from 1 species